UAAAGAUCCGUCGGAUGAGGAUAGGCUCGCGUGACAUUAGCUUGACGGCGGGGUAACGGCCCACCGUGGCGACGAUGUCUAGGGGUUCUGAGAGGAAGGUCCCCCACACUGGAACUGAGACACGGUCCAGACUCCUACGGGAGGCAGCAGUGAGGAAUAUUGGUCAAUGGCCGGAAGGCUGAACCAGCCAUGCCGCGUGAAGGUCAGUGCCCUAUGGGCGUUAAACUUCUUUUGUGCGGGAGCAAUAAGGUCCACGUGUGGACCGACGAGAGUACCGUACGAAUAAGCAUCGGCUAACUCCGUGCCAGCAGCCGCGGUAAUACGGGGGAUGCAAGCGUUAUCCGGAUUUAUUGGGUUUAAAGGGUGCGUAGGCUGUGAGGUAAGUCAGCGGUGAAAUGCCCCCGCUCAACGGGGGAAGUGCCAUUGAUACUGCCUUGCUGGAAUGCGGAUGCCGUGGGAGGAAUGUGUGGUGUAGCGGUGAAAUGCAUAGAUAUCACACAGAACACCGAUUGCGAAGGCAUCUCACGAAUCCGCUAUUGACGCUGAUGCACGAAAGCGUGGGUAUCAAACAGGAUUAGAUACCCUGGUAGUCCACGCUGUAAACGAUGAUGACUAACCGUCGGCGAUACACAGUCG
rnacentral:rRNA from 1 species